UUUAGGUUUAUUGCUAUUUCCUCCUUUAAUAUUGUAGUAAUUAUCACAAAACCUGCUAGCAGCUGAUUGCCUCUGAAAAAGACAGGUGGCGAUGUCGUUGAUUCCGAAGUCUAAGGAUGAGUGCAGUGUUUUACAUGGCCACGCAAAUCCAGUUGCGACCUACAUGUUUUCCCACAACUAGUGCAGACAAAGCCUUUGUCCGGCGGGGUCUACUUAUGUUUUCUUUACGUCUUUUGCGCUGGUCUUCUACGAUGGUUUUCUUCGGGCCUCCUAUGUGUGUCCCGCAGCCUUUGUGAGAGCUUCCUUCAGGGACCAGUUAAGUUACUUGUAAGACCUCAAAAGGAAUACGAGCGAUUUUUUUCUGAUUUUUCAAACAUUAAACUCCUGAAUUACAUGAUCCUUCAUUUUCCAACAAUCCGACUAGAGAAUUAGAAUGUAAACAUUCGAGAAUUAGCUCUAGACCUCAGAACUGUCUGUCAGCUUUGGCAUUGCUGCCAGAACCAUAAGCCAAGCCAUUGACGUGUCCUCACUUUUGAUUUCAUCUAGAUCUACUGUGGAGCCACAACAACUAUUUGAUUUCAUCUAGAUCUACUGUGGAGCCACAACAACUAUUUGAUUUCAUCUAGAUCUACUGUGGAGCCACAACAACUAUUUGAUUUCAUCUAGAUCUACUGUGGAGCCACAACAACUAUUUGAUUUCAUCUAGAUCUACUGUGGAGCCACAACAACUAUUUGAUUUCAUCUAGAUCUACUGUGGAGCCACAACAACUAUUUAAUUUCAUCUAGAUCUACUGUGGAGCCACAACAACUAUUUGAUUUCAUCUAGAUCUACUGUGGAGCCACAACAACUAUUUAAUUUCAUCUAGAUCUACUGUGGAGCCACAACAACUAUUUAAUUUCAUCUAGAUCUACUGUGGAGCCACAACACUGUGGAAUGUUUCUCGGCGCUAAGCAAAAAGAACUUUAUAUUUUUAUGCAAAUUGUCUCACAUAGUAAUCGUGGAGCUUAUCUAUUACGUCAUCUAGACGACAGACAUCGGUACAUUUCCAGUGAACAAUGUUGGUACGAAACAGUUUGAUUGUUAGAAUCUUACAUUGUUUGACAGUAGUUUUGUAAUCGGUACAAAUCAUCAAGUGUGUGGUGAGGUUACAAUUUAGUUUCGUUUUAAUGUUUUCUCUCUCAGACUUGAAGGGUUAGAACUCAAAUAAAUGAACUUCUAUGUGAUCUAGCUGUCUCAACACUGCUGCUGCAAGUCUCCCUUCAUAGAUUUCAUAACUUGAUUCAUUCUAGAUCCCAGGCUAAGAUGACGAACACAAUAAACAUCUGAACCAAACAUCUGAACCAAACAUUUGAACCAAACAUCUGAACCAAACAUCUGAACCAAACAUUUGAACCAAACAUCUGAACCAAACAUCUGAACCAAACGUCUGAAUGAAACAUUUGAAUCAAACAUCUGAACCAAACGUCUGAAUGAAACAUUUGAAUCAUACAUCUGAACCAAACGUCUGAAUGAAACAUUUGAAUCAAACAUCUGAACCAAACGUCUGAAUGAAACAUUUGAAUCAUACAUCUGAAGAUUAACUUUAAAUGCUAAAAUGACCAAUAAAAAAAAACAAAAUAAAAAAAAAAUUAUCAAACAUUUGAUCAAACAAGUAAAUCAGAAUCAACACGGUGACAUAGAUAGAAACUCAAAGUCGACCCCCAAAGUGGUUCACUAAGGCAGGUAAAAAGACAGGCUUCAAUAUUUUCAGCAUGAAUUUCAGAAGCUAAAAACUCUAAACUAUCAAUAACCACAACUCUUGUCUCCGCCAGUUCAAAAAGAAAAGAGUUGUACGUAUCGAAAGUGUUGCCAAUGCUAUUGUUUUGUUAGGCCGACUGACGACAUACCAUAGGAUACGGACAAUUAUUAAUGUUGUUAUCUUAUCUUGUAAAUAACAAUAACUGAUGAGAUUAAAUAAUAACUUAAUUAAUGUUUUUGUUAAGGGACAAUCUCACAUUCCAGGGCCUCAAUGAAGAAACUUUUCCCUUUAGUUAAACGCUUUGCAUUAUGAAGUGUUUGUUUUACCCCACUUUUUAGAUACUAAACACUGGUUAUUAAUUGUUGAUGUAACAUUUAUUCGACUUAUAUACAUAUUAAAUGCAUUCUUUCACUUAAAAAAAAGAAACAUUUAUUGAAAAGGUAAGUAGAUUGUAGAAUGAAAACCAUUUAACUUAUUAAAACAGAUAUUUUUUAUAAAAUAUUUUUUUUAACAAUACAAAACCGUUUGCAUAAAAGUUUUAAAAAAUAUAUACAGGAGACUUAUUCGUCUUCACGAUAUA